rnacentral:rRNA from 1 species
AUUGAACGCUGGCGGCAGGCCUAACACAUGCAAGUCGAACGAGUGGCGGACGGGUGAGUAAUGUCUGGGAAACUGCCUGAUGGAGGGGGAUAACUACUGGAAACGGUAGCUAAUACCGCAUACAAUCAGAUGUGCCCAGAUGGGAUUAGCUAGUUGGUGGGGUAACGGCUCACCAAGGCGACGAUCCCUAGCUGGACUGAGAGGAUGACCAGCCACACGGGAACUGAGACACGGUCCAGACUCCUACGGGAGGCAGCAGUGGGGAAUAUGUCACAAUGGGCGCAAGCCUGAUACAGCCAUGCCGCGUGUAGGAAGAAGGCCUUCGGGUUGUAAAGUACUUUCGGCGGGUAAGCGUUAUCCGCAGAAGAAGCACCGGCUAACUCCGUGCCAGCAGCCGCGGUAAUUC